ACGUAGGGGGCGAGCGUUGUCCGGAAUGACUGGGCGUAAAGGGCGCGUAGACGGCUGUCUAAGUCUGGAGUGAAAGUCUUGUUUUUAAGGCGGGAAUUGCUUUGGAGACUGGAUGGCUUGAGUGCGGAAGAGGUAAGUGGAAUUCCCAGUGUAGCGGUGAAAUGCGUAGAGGUUGGGAAGAACACCAGUGGCGAAGGCGACUUACUGGGCCGUAACUGACGGUGAAGCGCGAAAGCGUGGGGAGCGAACAG
rnacentral:rRNA from 1 species